GACGAACGCUGGCGGCGUGCCUAAUACAUGCAAGUCGAACGAGAGCGACCGGUGCUUGCACUGGUCAAUCUAGUGGCGAACGGGUGAGUAACACGUGGGUAACCUGCCCAUCAGAGGGGGAUAACAUCCGGAAACGGAUGCUAAAACCGCAUAGGUCUUCGAACCGCAUGGUUUGAGGAGGAAAAGAGGCGCACGCUUCUGCUGAUGGAUGGACCCGCGGUGCAUUAGCUAGUUGGUGAGGUAACGGCUCACCAAGGCCGUGAUGCAUAGCCGACCUGAGAGGGUGAUCGGCCACAUUGGGACUGAGACACGGCCCAAACUCCUACGGGAGGCAGCAGUAGGGAAUCUUCCGCAAAGGACGCAAGUCUGACGGAGCAACGCCGCGUGAGUGAAGAAGGUGUUCGGAUCGUAAAACUCUGUUGUUAGAGAAGAACAAGUGCUAGAGUAACUGUUAGCGCCUUGACGGUAUCUAACCAGAAAGCCACGGCUAACUACGUG
rnacentral:rRNA from 1 species